GUUUUCGUGGUGCAAUUGGAAACAUGCCCGGCUAGCAAUCGGGAGAUUCAGCGUUCGAAUCUUGACGAGGACA
rnacentral:tRNA from 1 species